CCUACGGGUGGCAGCAGUGGGGAAUAUUGCGCAAUGGGCGAAAGCCUGACGCAGCGACGCCGCGUGAGGGAUGAAGGUCUUCGGAUCGUAAACCUCUGUCAGCAGGGAAGAACGGUCACUGUGCUAAUCAGCAGUGAAUUGACGGUACCUGCAAAGGAAGCACCGGCUAACUCCGUGCCAGCAGCCGCGGUAAUACGGAGGGUGCGAGCGUUAAUCGGAAUUACUGGGCGUAAAGGGCGCGUAGGCGGUAUGUCAAGUCAAGGGUGAAAUCCCCGCGCUCAACGUGGGAACUGCCUUUGAAACUGGCAAACUGGGGUGUGGGAGAGGAUAGUGGAAUUCCAGGUGUAGGAGUGAAAUCCGUAGAUAUCUGGAGGAACAUCAGUGGCGAAGGCGACUAUCUGGCACAUAACUGACGCUGAGGAGCGAAAGCGUGGGUAGCAAACAGGAUUAGAUACCCUAGUAGUC
rnacentral:rRNA from 1 species